ACAGCAGUCGCCGCGGUAAUACGUAGGGUGCAAGCGUUAAUCGGAAUUACUGGGCGUAAAGCGUGCGCAGGCGGUUUGUUAAGACAGAUGUGAAAUCCCCGGGCUCAACCUGGGAACUGCAUUUGUGACUGGCAAGCUAGAGUGUGGCAGAGGGGGGUGGAAUUCCGCGUGUAGCAGUGAAAUGCGUAGAUAUGCGGAGGAACACCGAUGGCGAAGGCAGCCCCCUGGGCCAACACUGACGCUCAUGCACGAAAGCGUGGGGAGCAAACAGGAUUAGAUACCCCUGUAGUCCCUGUCUCUUAUAC
rnacentral:rRNA from 1 species